AAUUAUUAUUGGGUUAUUCACCAUGGCAACCAGUGAAAUGUAUUUCUGAGUUAGGUUGGCUUGUUUUCAGAAUUCACCACGAAAUGCCUCCAGCUGUCCAUCACCACUGUAAAUAUAAAGAGUGGUUAUAGAGGAAAAAACGUCAGAAAGCAAAUUCAGUUGAUGUGGAGCAGAAGACAAGAAAGAAGAAGGAGAGGGGCACUUCAUCCCCCUCUCCAAUUCCAUCUGACCGUUCUGAACGGAAUGGCUCCGCUACCUCUGACCCCUCACCCUCUGACCAACUCUCCUCCCUCCAUCCACCUCCCUCUCCUGUUAAAUGUUCCUCUCAGCCUUGCUCUCCUGCUAAACAACCCUCUGUACCCCGGUCACCUGCCAAAAACCCUUCCCCAGUGAAAUCCUCUCCAGUGGUGUCCCAGCCUAGUUCUCCCUCUCCUAACAACCCUCUGGACCGUCAUGGAGACACCAGUCAGGAGGGCACAACAGUCAGGUAAUCCAAACAUAAAGUACAGUGCCAUCCUAGAGUCUCUUUGGAGAGUUGGGUUUAGUGCUACCAGACCAGGGUCAGUGUUAAUCAACAGUAUGAGUGCUAAUCUAGGAUCAGGUCCUCUCUGUCCAUAAUAAUUCAUUGAUCUAUGAUCUAAAAUGCAAAACUGGUCCUAGAUCAGACUCCUACUCUGAGACACUUGGUAAACACAGUCCCAGAAAGUUAUUUUCCUGAAACUGUAGUUUUAGCCUCUUCUGUCUACAUCUAGUGGAUAAAGAGAGUACUAACCUAUUGGCCUGGUCUACUUGGUACACUGCAUUUAUAUGAACAGCAGUACUAAGCUGUGUUUAUAGUACAGUACAGUAUUUAAUAGAGAGACUGUGUAGAGUGAUAAUAUCUCUGUGUUGGAGGCGUUAGACCUGUUUCUCUCCUUCCUCCAGACCUCUGUCUCUGCAGGAACACUCUAGUCCAAUGCCCCAGAGACCAGUCUCAGCCACCAGAAACAUGACUCUUCCCAGGACCAGCUCAGCCACCAGAAGUAUGACUCUUCCCAGGGCCAGCUCAGCCACCAGAGGGUCAGAAGAGACCCAGGGGGCCAGAGGAGAACGGGGGGAACUGGUCAACAUGGAACUUCUUGGGUUGCCUAACAUUGGCAACACUUGCUUCCUUAACGCCACCCUGCAGUGCCUCCUGGUCCUGCCUUCCUUCUCAAAGGAAAUCCUGCACCAGGAACAACUCUGGAGCUCCUCCCCCUUCUCCAACCUGCUCAGGUGUCUGUCUGAUGUGCACCGUUCAGGUCUACCUGACAGUGUGGCAAACCAGGCCUCAAAAGCAGACCUCAUGUGGAAGGUCAAGUACUCCUUGUCGGGAUACGAUUUGAAGUAUCUGGGGGACACGCAACAGGACGCACACGAGUUACUCGUCAAUAUGCUGUGCCAGCUGAAGGAGGAGGGCAUGAUUCUGAAGACACUCGGGAUGAACUAUACCUGCCCUGUUUCCCAGCUGGAGUUCCAGCUUGUGUCGGUGCGCANNNNNNNNNNGGGUUGCCAGGUGGUGGUGUCAUACAUGACCGAUGACAUCACAAUGGUCUUAAAGCCAAUUUGAACAAUGGGUUAAUGUGGAAAUGUAUCAGUCUUCAUUGGUUAUCGACAUGGCUUGUUUCUGCUGGUGCAAAAAGGUAUGAAAUCAGGUGAUUUAAUCAAUGAACAACUACUAUAAUUCUGGAGUAGUAUUUUUCUCUUAAACCUAGUGGGAAGAAUAAAAGUAAAAUUACAUUCUGAUUGACAAAUACGUAAAAAGUG
rnacentral:lncRNA from 13 species